CUCGAGACCUCCUAGCUUCAGUGACGGUGCUGGUGGGGGUAUUCCUGAGAAUUCCCUGGAAUAUCCAAGAUUUUGGCCUAUUUUUUAAUACAUACGUUAUAUGGCUCAGGAGUUAAUCCAGCCAACCUGAGAGAGCGAGCGAGCAGCCGAGGCGUCGAGCAUCUCUUCCUCCCCUGUUUUCCGAUUCCUAAACCUAGCAGCGGCGGCGAUUCCAGCUCCGGCCGGCCCUCUCCCUCCUCAUCCCCUCCUCCAAUCCGGCCGGCCCUCCCCCUCCGCCGGUCCGCCCCUCCCAGACUGCCCCGGACCGGCUCGGCCGCUCGGCGAUCCAGCCUCUAGCCUCCCCGGAUCCCCUGCUGCCGCUGCCUGCUGGCGCCCUCCACCUCCAGUCCUCUCCUCCACGGCUGCACCGCUGGCCCCUCCUCUACUGACCACGGCACAGCUCUAGUGCUCCACCAAGUAGCCACUGCUAGUGUUGAGAGGGUAUUUUCCUUGAUGAAAUAUGUGAAGAAUUAGCUAAGAAACAAAAUGGAUGGUGAAUAUUUGAACAAUUGCUUGGUUACAUUUGUCGAGAGAGAAUUCUUCAAGCAACUGAAAGAUGAGGAUGUCAUCAAUCUCUUCCAAACAGGGGAUCGUAAAGUCAUAUCGAAUUUUUUUUUGGCUAUUUGUAAUCUUCCUUAAUUGUUAGAGAUAUUGCCACAGUGAUAUUUUGCUACUUUUAUCAAUGUAUGGUCAUUGAGUCAUUGAUAUUGCCAUCUUAUUGUACAUUUGUUGUUCUAUUUUAUUGCUUUGGCC